AUGGGCUGCACCCACUCCACUGUGGUGCAAACCAACAGCCGUGCCUCCUCCUGCCUCAUCCCACUGCGGUCAGAUGCCGACAGAGGCUCCUGUGGAGUCCCUGGACCCUCGUCCUCUUCCAAGUCUUGGCCCCUCCCACUCCAUCACUUUGAGCCAGCUCCUGGGCCUGGCCUUGGGCCUCCGCUGCCUCUACCACGGACCCACGCUCGCAAAGUCAAUGAGCUUUGGGCCUUUGUGAAGGUGUGUAGGCAGGACCCGAGCGUCCUGCACACCAAGGAGAUGCGCUUCCUGCGGGACUGGGUGGAGAGCGUGGGGGGUAAAGUACCACCUGCUACUCAUAAAGCUAAAUCAGAAGAAAACAUAAAGGAAGAAAAAACAGAUAAUAAGAGAGAGGAAAGCAUAAAGACAGAUGAACCAUCAAGUGAGGAAAGUGAUCUGGAAAUUGACAAUGAAGGUGUAAUCGAACCAGACACUGAUGCCCCUUAAGAAAUGGGGGAUGAAAAUGUAGAGCUAACUGAGAUGGUGGAUCAAGCAAAUGAAAAGGAAGGGGCUGCCAUCGAAGCCCUGAGUGAAGGUCAACUGCAGAAAGCCAUUGACUUGUUCGCAGAUGCCAUCAAGCUAAAUCCUCGCUUGGCCAUUCUGUACGCCAAGAGAGCCAGUGUCUUCGUCAAAUUACAGAAGCCAAAUGCUGCCAUUCGAGACUGUGACAGAGCCAUUGAAAUAAAUCCUGAUUCGGCUCAGCCUUAUAGAUGGCGAGGGAAAGCACACAGACUGGGGGGCCAUUGGGAAGAAGCAGCCCCUGAUCUUGCCCUUGCCUGUGAACUGGAUUAUGAUGAGGAUGCCAGUGCAAUGCUGAAAGAAGUUCAACUGAGGGCUCAGAAAAUUGCUGAACACCGAAGUACGAGCAAAAACGGGAGGAGCGAGAGGUAAAGGAGAGAACUGAGAGGGUCAAGAAGCCUUGAGAGGAGCAUGAGAGAGCCCAGAGGGAAGAAGAGGCCAGAGGACAAGCAGAAGCUCAGUUUGGCUCUUUCCCAGGUGGUUUUCCUGGAGGAAUGCCUGGCAAUUUUCCUGGAGGAAUGCCUGGAAUGGGAGGGGGCAUGCCUGGAAUGGCAGGAAUGCCUGGACUCAAUGAAAUUCUCAGUGAUCCAGAGGUUCUUGCAGCCAUGCAGGAUCCAGAAGUUAUGGUGGCCUUCCAGGAUGUGGCCCAGAACCCUGCAAACGUCAGAAUAUCAGAGCAACCCAAAGGUUAUGAAUCUCAUCAGUAAAUUGUCAGCCGAAUUUGGAGGUCAAGCAUAAUGUCCAUUUGACAAAGCCCUUACUGAAGGAAAAGCAGCCUAGAUCACUUAAUGGAUGUCGCAAUAAUCUAAACCAGUGUACCUCUGACCUUCUCAUCAGGAGAGCCGGGGUGCUUCGAAGAUAAUCCCU